rnacentral:rRNA from 1 species
UGCCUACGGGAGGCUGCAGUGGGGAAUAUUGGACAAUGGGGGAAACCCUGAUCCAGCAAUGCCGCGUGAGUGAAGAAGGCCUUAGGGUUGUAAAGCUCUUUCGGCGGGGAAGAUGGUGACGGUACCCGCAGAAGAAGCCCCGGCUAACUUCGUGCCAGCAGCCGCGGUAAUACGAAGGGGGCUAGCGUUGUUCGGAAUCACUGGGCGUAAAGGGCGCGUAGGCGGCGCGACAAGUCAGGCGUGAAAGCCCCGGGCUCAACCCGGGAAUUGCGCUUGAUACUGUCGUGCUUGAGUCCGGGAGAGGAUGGCGGAAUUCCCAGUGUAGAGGUGAAAUUCGUAGAUAUUGGGAAGAACACCGGUGGCGAAGGCGGCCAUCUGGACCGGUACUGACGCUGAGGCGCGAAAGCGUGGGGAGCAAACAGGAUUAGAUACCCUGGUAGUCU